UACUUACAGGUAAACCAAAAAGACCAAAACGUAAUACGAUGGCCAAUUAUCCAACCCGGGGGAACUCAAACGGUCAAUCGAAAACAAAAGGAAAAAGGCCUAACAAUGAACCGGACCAGGAACAGUCAAGCGGUCCAUCGGAAACCGAAGAAAAUGGGACUGACAAUGAUUCAGACCAGGGACAGUCAAGCGCAAAGCGAAGGAAAUAGGACUGACAAUGAUCCAGACCAGGGACAGUCAAGCGGCCAGCGAGUCAAACGAAUGAAGACCAGUAAGAGUGACGCACAGUGAUCUUCCAGUAGUUACAUGUAUGUGUACAGUACGUGUAUAUGUACUGCACGUGUGACUUAGGUGUAAAUGAUAAAAACGAAGGUCAUUCAUGACACAUAAAAAGAUACAGGUGGGAAAACAAAUACUGGAGUAACCAGUGAUUAUAGAAAUGUGCAUUAUUUGGGAUAACAGCCACUUCGGCCAAAAAAAAUAUAUGUUUGUUUUCGGUUAUCCUGCCUAUCCUACAUUUUGUGUGUCAACCCUAAAAAGUAUUUCGACAAAUUUCAAAAAAGCACUGUUAAAUUCAAGAUAAAUAUCCCUAAAAAACUUUAUAAUUAAAUGAAAAAUAACAUAUAUUACCUACACUAAUGUACCUACCCUAAAUUUUUCAGACAUGUAACAUGAAUCAAACAUGUUUUACGUUUGGCCUUACCAAGACAUUGUACAGUCUAAAUGAUAUAUUGAAUAAAGAAAAAACCAAGGAUAAUGUGUGCAUAUAAACUAUACAAUUGUGUAUAAUUAUAGAAAUCUGAAUUAUCUGUAAUUAUAGUUUCUCACCAAAACCAGACAUUAUACAGUCUCCAUUUAAUCAUACUGAGCAAAGAAAAUCGAGGAUGAGGCGUACAUAUAAAACAUAUGACUGAUUAUAUUUAUUUAAUCAUAUACUAUCAUUGUUACUUUGGAAUCGUGUUUUAUCAACCCCUAUAUGAGCUUAUCAUGUCACCACAACUGUACUAUGUGGAUAUAUCUAAUAAACAAACAGUGUAUUA